CCUGGUUUCAGAAGCUUCAACAAGGGCCAGGAUAACAGGUAUCCCACCAACAGGGCGGAUUGUAUCUCCAAUCACACACUGCCUGCAAACAUAGAUAUCCCCAUGAAGACGUCCGAAUCGUGGUAUCCCCCCAAUAGGAGAAGCAGCAGCUGACAUAGGGUCAACCAGAUUAAGCAAGGAGAAUGUCCCAGAUGCUCGAAUAGCUUCGGUACAAGUUCCAUCAAAUGCAAAAAUAAGUUUCUUUCCACAGAGCUGCAAUGAAAGGUUGCUUAGCCUCUCCAAAUCCCAAACAAUCCCACUGCCAUCAGACUUAG
rnacentral:misc_RNA from 1 species